UACGGAGGGUGCAAGCGUUAUCCGGAUUCACUGGGUUAAAGGGUGCGUAGGCGGCUAAAUAAGUCAGUGGUGAAAGCCCGCAGCUCAACUGCGGAAUUGCCAUUGAAACUGUCUAGCUUGAAUCUGGUUGAAGUGGGCGGAAUACAUCAUGUAGCGGUGAAAUGCUUAGAUAUGAUGUAGAACACCGAUUGCGAAGGCAGCUCACUAAGCCAACAUUGACGCUGAGGCACGAAAGCGUGGGUAGCGAACAGG
rnacentral:rRNA from 1 species